GAUGAACGCUGGCGGCGUGCCUAAUACAUGCAAGUCGAGCGAAGAGGGGACGGGUGAGUAACACGUGGAGAAACUCCUAUAAGAAUGGGAUAACUUCGGGAAACCGGAGCUAAAACGGAUACUUAUAGAUGUAUCAGCGCUGCAUUAGCUAUUUGGUAAGGUAACGGCUUACCAAGGCAAGGUGGCAUAGCCGACCUGAGAGGGUGAUGGGCCACGCUGGUACUGAGACACGGUCCAGACGCCUACGGGAGGCAGCAGUAGGGAAGCGUCCGCAAGGGGCGUAAGCCUGACGGAGCAACGCCGCGUGAGUGAUGAAGGUCUUCGGAUCGUAAAUCUCUGUUAUUAGGGAAGCUGUUCCUUCUCAGAAUGCCACUGCUAACUACGUGCCAGCAGACGCGGUAAUAC
rnacentral:rRNA from 1 species